GAAAAUUUCAAAAGCGGAGGAAAAGAAACUAACAAGGAUUCCCCUAGUAACGGCGAGUGAAGCGGGAAGAAGCUUCCAAAUUUUGAAAUCCUGGCGGUCCUAAGGCCGUCCGAGUUGUAAUCUAGAGAGGUGUUUUCCGUGCCGGACCGUGUACAAGUCCCUUGGAACAGGGCGUCAUAGAGGGUGAGAAUCCCGUCCAUGACACGGACUACCGGUGCUCUGUGAUACACCUUCAAAGAGUCGAGUUGUUUGGGAAUGCAGCUCAAAAUGGGUGGUAAAUUCCAUCUAAAGCUAAAUACAGGCGAGAGACCGAUAGCGAACAAGUACCGUGAGGGAAAGAUGAAAAGAACUUUGGAAAGAGAGUUAAACAGUACGUGAAAUUGUUGAAAGGGAAACGCUUGAAGUCAGUCGCGUCUGCCGGGACUCAGCCUUGCUUCUGCUUGGUGCACUUCCCGGUGGAUGGGCCAGCAUCGAUUUUGAUUGCCGGAAAAGGGCGGGAGGAAUGUGGCAGCUUUUGCUGUGUUAUAGCCUUCUGUCGUACACGGUGGUUGGGAUCGAGGACUGCAGCACGCCUUCUGGUCGGGGUUCGCCCACGCCACGUGCUUAGGAUGCUGGCGUAAUGGCUUUAAACGACCCGUCUUGAAAACGGAAC
rnacentral:rRNA from 1 species